UUCCUACUGAUCAUAUCAAAGUAUCAGAUCAUAUUGUCAGUGGGAACGUCUGCAAAAAAGAUGAAGUUAUGGAUGCCCCUAUAUUUGACAAGACUCCAAAAUCAAAUGCUCCCACAACCGACAAGCCUGCUGCUC